rfam:Schistosoma mansoni, Puerto Rico, WGS project CABG01000000 data, contig: 0160
AUCCAGCUAACGAGUCCCAAGUAGGACGAAACGUAUGUCCUGUAU